UACGGAGGAUGCAAGCGUUAUCCGGAUUCACUGGGUUUAAAGGGUGCGUAGGUGGGUCUGUAAGUCAGCGGUGAAAUCUCCAAGCUUAACUUGGAACUGCCGUUGAUACUAUAGACCUUGAAUGCUGUGGAGGUGAGCGGAAUAUGUCAUGUAGCGGUGAAAUGCUUAGAUAUGACAUAGAACACCAAUUGCGAAGGCAGCUCACUACCCAGAUAUUGACACUGAGGCACGAAAGCGUGGGGAUCAAACAGG
rnacentral:rRNA from 1 species